rnacentral:tRNA from 1 species
AGUGGUCGAGUGGUAGAACAAUUGCCUAACGACUCGCCGAAUGUCGAUUCGAAUCCCAG